rnacentral:lncRNA from 1 species
UCAGCUGAACAAAUGAGUUGAUUUCUAAGGCUGGAAGAGUUCAACGUUUUUAGUAGAUAAUGACUUAAAUUCUCUUCAUUAAAUCAGCCUUGAGAAUCCUAAUGAUCAGCAGCAGCAUUAGUGACGUCUUGGCACACAAAACAGCUUCUUUGGGUAGUGUAAAGUUCAGCCUUGAAGAGAGGAAACGCCAAGCAUGUUGUUGGCCGAAUGGCUACUUGAAAAUACCAACCAGCAGCCCUUUGAUGUUCACGAAAAUAGCACUUUUAAUGCUUCAUGUAUUCUCUUUUCAGCAACUAAUUAAUGGACUUCCCUUGCAUGCUGGACAACUCCUUUAAAACAUGUUCUGCUGUACAUUGAAUUCGGCCAGCCACUUUAAUGCAUUCCAGCAUCUCAUUGAAUGGCCGACUCUUGCAUGCCCAACAGCACCUUAAAUACAUGUCUAUGCUUUACAUUAAAUUCGGCCAACACCUUCUUUAUUGCUGCUGUUGAACAUCACCUUAAAUGCAUGUCUAUGCUUUACAUUAAAUUCGGCCAACACCUCCUUUAUUGCUGCUGAUUUAAUUCAUGUCUUUGCUUCCCUUUAAAUGCCGUUCCUUGCAUGUAGAACAACAACUUAAAUGCAUGUCUCCUUUGCCAUUAAGUAGUUGUUUCCAGUUGAAUUAAUUACCUGCAGACACAAAAUAAAUUCGGUCAAGACAUAAAUUAAACCUCAUUAAAUUCGGCAGCCUCCUUUAAUACAUAAUUAACUCAUGCAUGAACAAACAAGUUAAUUAACAUAUUAAAUUCAGCUGGACAAUAAAAAAAACAACAAUAAAUUCGUCACUUUUAAUGAACUUAAGACACAUUUAAUACUACUCUUUAAUUCGGCUGAAACUAAUAAUAAAAAAAACAUUAAUAAAUUCAGCAUAUUAAAUAGAUGUAAUAAAUAAAACACAAUCAAUUAAACUCAAAAAUUAUUAAAGAUGUUCAGAUUUAAACAUAUUAAUUUACUAACACUUAUUUGAGCUGAAUUAAAUAAAUAAACUAACUUAUUCAAUUUAUUUCAGCAAAUGAAAUUAUAAGAAUUAAAAUAAACUCAAAUUGAGCAAAACGAUCCCAUUGAGCUGGAAACGAGCUAAACAAAGCUCAGUGAGAUGCAAUUGAGCUAAUUUAGCUCGUAUGGGUAGACAAGAAAUACUUAUGGAGCUGAUCGAAAAAUGUGCCUGGGGCGUGGUCGUAUCAUC